rnacentral:rRNA from 1 species
AUGGGGAGAAAUGACAGUACUGGUUUUAAGUUCGAAGCAAAAUGGUUGGAGGAAGAGGCAUGUGAGGUGAUUGUUCAAAAUGCUUGGAAGGUGGGGAGUGAGAUUCACAAGGAAGAUGUGGCAGAUGUGCUCAAGGAUGUGGCAUUGGAUCUCACAGACUGGAGCAAAAAUAUACUAGGAAAUUUAGAGAAACGCAUUGCGCGUACAAAAAAAGAGCUAGAGAGGUGGAGGAGGACACCUAUUUUGACUGAACAUGUGCAAAGGGAGAGUGUGUUGCGCUAUAAGUUGGAUAAUUUGGAGCAGCAGCGGGACAUGUAUUGGCGCCAAAGAGCACAUGUGAGUUGGCUGCAAAAAGGAGAUAAAAACACCAAGUUCUAUCAUAUGCAUGCAUCAGUACAGAAGAGACUAAACAAAAUAAAGGAAAUGAAGGUGGAUGGAGGGGCGUGGUAG